CUGGCAUAUAGAGUGCUCAAUAAAUGUGAAAUGCUCUUACUCCACAUAUCAGAAAUUUAGAAACAGCCAAAUGUUUAAUGACAGAAUACUUCAAAAGAUUAUGGUAAAUUUAUACAACAGCAUAUUAUUAUACAGUCAUUAAAAUGUUGCUCAUGAAGUUUUAAUGAUGUUGGGAUAAUGCUUAUAUUAAGUGAAAAAGCAUGAUAUAAAAUUGAAUAUAUAGUAUGAUUUCAAUUAUGUAAAAUAUACUUCAAUAUGUAGAAAAAGAUCUAGCAGAAAGCAUACUAAAAUAUUAAAAGUGAUCAUUUUGGAUAGUAGUAUUUGACCUGCUUGCUAUUUUCUUCUUUAUACUUUUCUAUCAUCGAUCUUUUUUUUUUUUUUUUUACAGUAAGGAAAAUAUUGCUUUUAAAAUCAGGAAAACACCAUAAUUUUAAAAUGUUAAAGUAACAAAU
rnacentral:lncRNA from 1 species